UACGGGGGGGGCAAGCGUUGUUCGGAAUUACUGGGCGUAAAGGGCUCGUAGGCGGCCAACUAAGUCAGACGUGAAAUCCCUCGGCUUAACCGGGGAACUGCGUCUGAUACUGGAUGGCUUGAAUCCGGGAGAGGGAUGCGGAAUUCCAGGUGUAGCGGUGAAAUGCGUAGAUAUCUGGAGGAACACCGGUGGCGAAGGCGGCACCCUGGACCAACACUGACGCUGAGGAGCGAAAGCCAGGGGAGCAAACGGG
rnacentral:rRNA from 1 species